CUGCGGAAGGAUCAUUGUCGAAUCCUCAAACGAAAACAUGCGAACACGUUCAAAAAUUUGCGUCGGGCGUGGGGUAAAACCUGCGCCCCUCGCCACCUGCCCGGCCGAACGGCGACCCAACCGGUCUGUCGGUCGCGUCGGGCAACCGAAACAAAAACCGGCGCGGGAAGCGCCAAGGACUUUAUGAAACGGGAUGCCUUCCUUGUGAAAGGGGCCAUUCGGAAUUCUUCGCCACGGGGUAUUACACGAUUUUGGCAACGAAUUUUAGGUUUCGCAUCAAUAAAAAAGUACCAAAUUGCAAUAUUUGUUGUGAAUUGCAAAUCCCGUGAACCUCAAUUUUUAAACCCAAUUGCCCCAAACCCUUAGGCCAAGGGCACUUUUGCUUGGGCUUCACGAAUCGGUCGAAAGGUCGUGGCAAGCGGGGGGCGAAUUGGCUUCCCGUGCCUAGUCGCGGCCAGCCUAAAAAAUGGUUCCCUCGCCGCGGACGUCGCGACAAGUGGUGGUCGUCGAGAUUGAACGCGAGUCGCCGGCAAGCCGCGUCGAGGAGAGCGCUUGGACCCUGUGCACGUGAGUCCCUCGCCGAGGGACGACCGGCACGACCAGCGACCCCAGGUCAGGCGGGGCUACCCGCUGAGUUU
rnacentral:sRNA from 1 species